CUGUGGCUGGAGCGCGGAACCACCUCAGGAGCUCUGGCGUGUGGGGCUGGCCCUGAGAGAGCUGGUUUCCUAGAUUGUCAGAACCGAUUGUUAAAUUUUCAGAAGUUUUGCACCAGUGUUAUUAAUAUUAAACUCUACAAGCACGUAAAAACAAAUACACACAAACCCUCACAUCCAAACUAUUUUACUCCUUCCUGUCUUUGAGGUUAUUUAGAUCAUUCCCAUCUGUGUGUGAAAAUUCUAUAAAAUGACAGGCUAUAGCACACCUCCUGCAGCCCUGAGCUCAGUGAGGUUGCACUGGUAGCUUGAAUUCAGCCUCAGAGGCAUUUACACCAUAGGAACAGGCAGAUGCUACAGGCCGGAACUUGAGCUGUCACUGUGUUUUGUACACGAAAUCAAUGGAUAAAAUGUUACUAGCGCAGAUUCAACCUAGUGGAAUACCAGAUCUGUGAGUUGUACCAAAAAGAGAGAGAGAGAGACAGAGAAGAAACACUCAUCCAAGUUCAAAACCCAUUAUCUAAUCCAGCAAAAAGUCACUUAUGUCAUUGAUAAAUAAAGUUCUGACGAUUGUUAAAUAUGCACCAGCUCCAUUGCCCAAAAGCAUCCAUCAGUAUUGGCAUUGGUAUUUUAAAAAUCUACUAGCUGAGACCCCCAUGCAGAGGGGGGAAGAAUCAGUGAUUCUAGAGGGAAACAAUGAUGAAGAGGAUUCUCACAGCAGCUGGCCUGAUGCAAGGCUCCCCCUCCAGUGGGUACAGCUCAGGGUCUAAGCACUUUGGGGUCAGAGAGGGUGGCAGGUUUUAGGGAGAGGCCCUAUCCAUUAGAGAGGUCUGGCCUGUGACUUUUUCUUGCUCUGAUUUGGUGGAUCAGAGGUCAUUCCCCAAGAUAGAACUCCUCAGGGCCAGGACUGUCUUAUAUAUCAAUCAACAGAAAACUUGGUUGAUGCUUCCUGGCUGAGUGGCAAAUGAAUUGAUGAAUUGUAUUAAGACAUGGUUUUUCUAAACAUCUCACAAUAAUAUUUUGGAUGAACUAAUCAUAGUACAGGGCUUCACUGUGGUACUCUGUGACCAUUAGAAAUGACACUUGGAAAUUUAAGACAACGCUCACAAUAUGUUAUUACAAAGGAAAAGCUACAAAAUAACAUAUAAAUUAUGAACACAGUUUGGUUUUGUAAAAACACAUGCUAAAUAUUUUCCCAAGCUGGA
rnacentral:lncRNA from 1 species